CAACUUCGCUGUUGUAGCAGGACGUCCGCGACGAAACAGAUCAACGGUGCCAUAUGCUGGCAUGAGACUCACGAGCUGAGAACCCCGAUUCUGCAUAUACAGUAGUGAAAGGAAGGGGGUGCCAGGGGAUCCAGGGAAAGGGAACCAAACUCUUCUGUUCACAGAGCCGGUCACUCACACGUCCCAGAUCAAACUCCAUGCUGACGCGCCUCACAAACACACUCAUCACUCAACAAAGGUCCAAGGUGAACAGCAGGAAUCCGACUCAGCCACCACCUUAAGCGGUGACCAAUCAGAUGAAGAUGAUGCGCAGCAGGUGAGCUGAUUAUCAGCAGCUCUCAGCAUCACCUUGGAGCACGUGCACCUGAAUGAAACCAAACCAGUCUUUGUUGCCAAAAACAAAAGGACACAAAUGCCAUGAAACAAACACGUUUAUAAUUACCUUGUGAAGCAAACAUUGAUGAUGACAUGUUAAUACUUUCUGUAAAAUAAAUAAAUUUUUUA